rnacentral:rRNA from 1 species
UACGGAGGGUGCAAGCGUUAUCCGGAUUCACUGGGUUUAAAGGGUGCGUAGGAGGGCAGGUAAGUCAGUGGUGAAAUCUCCGAGCUUAACUUGGAACUGCCGUUGAUACUAUCUGCCUUGAAUAUUGUGGAGGUGAGCGGAAUAUGUCAUGUAGCGGUGAAAUGCUUAGAUAUGACAUAGAACACCAAUUGCGAAGGCAGCUCGCUACACAUAUAUUGACUCUGAGGCACGAAAAGCGUGGGGGAUCAAAACAGGG